CCCUUAGAUGGUCUGGGCCGCACACGCGCUACACUGAAGGAGGCAGCGUGUACUCCUGGAUCGAAAGAUUUGGGUAACCCGCGAAUCUCCUUCGUGCUAGGGAUUGAGGUUUGCAAUUAUCCUUCAUGAACGAGGAAUUCCCAGUAAGUGCAAGUCAUAAGCUUGCGCUGACUACGUCCCUGCCCUUUGUACACACCGCCCGUCGCUACUACCGAUUGAAUGAUUUAGUGAGGACUUCGGACUGGGACCGAUGCGGCUUUCGGGCUGCGUCGGUAUUCUGGAAAGAUGUCCAAACUGUAUCAUUUAGAGGAAGUAAAAGUCGUAACA
rnacentral:rRNA from 1 species